UUCAGAGGUUGCCAUGUGUACUCACCUUGUGGAAUUCUAUUGCCUUUGUCCCAUAAAUUCUGUUAGCAAUGCUGAGGGAAUUCUGUUGAUUAAUGUGGGAUACCAAGGCUCUGAACUCAGGAUGCAUCCUUCCACCUUGGCUGCACUGGGAGUGGUGAACAGAGAAGACAUACGCCUGGCUCCAUCAGAUCGUGGAUUCUCCUUUAUUCCCAUCAAUGGACAUAUAGAAGCCCAGCAUAAACAGAUGUGAAGAGGAAGGUUUUAAUACCAUAAGUACAGCAAUAUGCAGAAAUGCACAGACUUCAGUGGAAGUACAGACGAGGGAAGCAGAUCUACUCUGAGAGGCACAGCCUGCUUCUACUGAAGGAGAGUUUUCCAGGAAUGUGCAAGACAACAUUUAAAUGUUAAAUUAAAUCUUAAAUGUUAAUUACUCAGCAGUCAAGAGGAGGGCUGUCUGUGAUGCAGAUUCCUUGUGUGCUUGAGAAAAGACUUUAAGCUUCCAGGUCCCAAGAGAUCUUAAUCUGGAGUCCUUGAAAAUGAAGCCCGAGAGAAAACACAGGCAUGGUACCUUCUUUGUGAAGUGAUUUUAAUGAGCAAGAAAAGAAGCAAAGAAUCUACAUUGAUGGCCAUUGAAUUGACAAUGGGUCCCAAUGACUCCAACCUUCAGGGAAACCUUACCAAAAAGGCCCUAAAGCUAUCUGUACAGAGAAGAAAAUAAAAGAAGCAUUCAUCAAUUACCUUAAAUUCUAUGCCACAAGGAGAGAUCCAAAAUGCUACAGAACAUUGGAGUGUGUGCACGAAGGGUGUUGGCACACUGCUCCACAGCAUGAGAAUAUCUCUGGAGUUCAAAGCAAGGCAUGAAGAGAGAUAUUGUCAGCAUGGGAUGGAAAGAGAUGUUUAAGGCCUUAAGUGACUAGUAGCCUCUGCCACAGCCGCAUUAAUUCACAGGAUGACAAACCCUGAAGUGUCCAACAAGGCUGUGCAACACAGCCUGUUUAUGAGUUUUAGAAAGGAGUGGUUCUCCUUUCAUAGGGAGCCAAGUAUCAUAGGAGGUGUAGCUUCUUGUUUAUGCUUUUUAAUCUUAGCUUCCUUAGGAUGGAGCCCCAUACUGAGAUGACAAUAAUCACAGCGAGUAGUUCAUAACUUUCAAUCUUCAAUCUACAUAACACAUUACUGUGGGGUAAGUACAACUGUGUUACCAGACAAAAAGUGGGAAGGUUGAGCAGAUUUAGAAACCCUGGUAUUUCAUAUAUCGGAAAAUGGCUGCCUUCAGAGACAUGACCCUGACUUACCAUAUGAGUAAUGUAACUACUAGUCACAUCACAAAGUGUUCUCCUUGCUAAUGAGGAAUCUAGAUGGGUCAGGCAAAGAGUUUCCUGGACUUUCCUUCCUACAAAAGGUAUUCAAUCUCUGGGGUCCACCUUGAGUUAAUCAUAUGCACCCAUCUUCCAUGAUGAACAAGAAAUAAACAGUUCAGACAAGCAA